UUGUUGUUUUCCCGAAUUAUUUUCUACGGAACUAAAUUUUGUAGCACAACAAUUUAGUUGUAUACCCAAAUAGGGCCUUAUUUAUGAACUCCUUUAGUAGGUAGUGUAUGGAGAGCUUUACAUGCUAUUGUACUUGCUUUUUAAUAGGUUUCCUUUAGUUGUUUUUACUUGUUAUAAGAAUAGUGUUUCAUCUUUCAUAGGCUAUAAUCCAAAGUAAAGGGGCAGUUUUCUAGGUUUAUUCACUCACUUUUAUAUGUUGAGUCAUCUAUUAAGGCUCUUUCCCAGGUUCCAUCUUGAUAAGUUUUCAUAUUUUGUUAUUUAAAAAAUUUGAAGAAAAAUUCAUAUGGGUUAAACAUAGUUUUCAUUGACCUUGAAUAUGCCCAAGACAAAGUCUCUAGGGAAGUUCUCUGGAGAUGCAUGGAGGUUAGAGGUGUACCGGUGGCUUAUAUUAGGGCGAUAAAGGACAAAUAUUAUGGAGCUAAAACGCGGGUUAGAACGGUAGGUGGAGACUUAGAGCACUUCUAAGUGGAAAUGGGGUUGCACCAGGGAUCAGUUCUCUGUUCGUUGUCUGUUCUGUUUGCCUAGGUAAUGGAUGAAUUGACGCGGAAUAUUCAAGAUGGGGUGCCUGGGUAUAUGUUAUUUGCAGAUAACAUUGUACUAUAGAUGGGAUGCGUGAUGGUGUUAAUGCUAGGUCGGAGACACAGAGACAAACUCUGGAGGCUAAAGGAUUCAAGUUGAGCUGGACCAAAACAUUUGGAGUGCAAAUUCAGUGAGGGGUAGCAUAAGGCAAGCAUCGAAGUGAGGCUUGACAUUGAGGCUAUUCCCUGGAAACACAGUUUCAAGUAUCUUGGGUCUAUCAUCCAGGAAAGUGGAGGCACUGACGAUGAUAUCAUACAUCGCAUUGGUGCAAUGUGGAUGAAGUAGAGGCUUGCCUUGGAGUCUUGUGCGAUAAGAAGAUACCACCGAAAUCUAAAGGUAAUUUUUAUAGAGUGUGGUUAGACUGACCUUGUUGUAUGGGGCGAAGUUUUGGCCAUUCGAAACUCACAUGUUCAUAAGAUGCAUGUUGUGGAUAUGAGGAUAUAGAGGUGGAUGUGUAGUCACACUAGGUGUGGUAAGAUUAGAAAUGAGGAUAUUCGAGAUAAUGUGGGAGUGGCCUCAUGGUGGACAAGACAAGGGAAACGAAUUGAGAUGGUUUGGACAUGUAAAGAGGCAAAGUGCAGACGCCUAGUAAGGAGAUGCGAGAGGUCGGAUAUAGUAGGUAUAGGGAGAGGUAAAGGUGAACCGAAGAAGUAUUGGGGAUAGGUGAUUAGAUAGGAAUUGGGUUACUGUGGACAUGGCCUUAGAUAGGAGGGUGUUGAGGACGUGUAUUAAGGUAGAAGGUUAGUAAGGUAGGAGUGUUGUCGUGUUUUUCGAGGGGUUAGGCUUGUAGGUGUUUAUCGUUGUACUAGUCGUAAUAUUGUAGUCCUUUCUUGUGAAAUCUGUUAGUCUGUUGUCUGUUGUGUUUUGAUUGUCGAGUUAUUUUAUUGUUGUUCUUGUUCUUUCUUUGAGACUUUGCACUUUUUCCAUUGUUAGUUGCUAUAUUGUCUUCACUUGUACUUAGAAUUGCUACACUUGAGCGAAGUGUCUUUUGGAAACAGCUUCUCUACCUCCACGAGGUAGUGGUAAGGCGUGGAUAUACUCUACCCUCCCCAGGCCUUACUUUUGUGAUUUCACUGGGUACAUUGUUGUUGUUGUUGUAAGGUGGUCUUCGGUUAGUUCUUUCUCAACCUUUCUAGACUGUCAGUUUUUGUAAUUUUUUUAAAAAAUUGCUUUAAGAACAAGAGAUGCAAUAUUUUUUGAUGAUAAAAAAGAAGAGAUACAACAUUUUAGCAGGUAAAAACACUUUUAGACGUUUUAAACUCUACUGAAAUAUAUUGUCAAACAAAAUCCCAGCAUCAAGUCAUGCAUGUCCUAUGCAGGAGCUGCACUCACAAGCCUUUUAGUCAAUCUCAUUUUGUAUGCAUUGUUAGACCUUAUUGCUUCGUCAGUGAUUCAUUGGUCAUUCCUACAAAAUUUGCUCUUGCAAAUCGUCUCUCCAACAAGAGAUGUGAUUUGAUUAUUAGAGAUGAAAGGGAAAGAUCGUGGAAUGUUAAGUUACAUUCUUCUGGCAAUAGUGUAUAUAUCAGAGGUGGAUGUCAUGAAUUCCGUGAUGCAAAUUGCUUAAAGGAAGGAGAUUGCAUAAUAUUUGAGGUUGUUUCUAAUGGAAGCACACCAAUAUGGAAAUACAAUGGUAAAUUUUCUGGGAAUUUAAGGAUGCCAAACAUCACAGAAGCCACUGACAGGAUAAUAGGAAGUAGUUGGUGGCGGGCAAGGAAACUAGCACUGAAGCAAGUGGAUAUAAUAUAUUUGGAUCUUGUACUAAGUCAAUGUCUCAAAAUUUGAUAUGGAUUUUUUGAAAUAUAUCUCCUCUCUCUGUGCAUUGUUUUCAAAAUGAUCCAUAACUUGGUACUGUGAGGAGAUCAAAUUCUUUAAGGAAAAAGUAGACCAUGUGGGAUCGGAAAUCAUUCAGGUUGUUUAUGUUUUCACAGGUUCCGUGGAAAUAACCUUUUGUAAAAAUGCAUGGUAACGUUGCGUACAAUAAACUCGUGGUUCGACCCUUCUCCGAAGGGAGCUUUAGUGCAAUGGACUGUCCUUUUUAUUUGUUUCGAAGACAAUAGAUGACAAGUAUAAAGAAUGUAGCUUUAUAUAUAUGUGUGUGUAUUUUAGAUGCAAUGAUUAUUUUUUCUAAGCAUGUAUAUUUUCUUUACUAAGCCAAAUAUGUAAAAAUAUAUUUGAUUAGAAUAUCGUUAUCUUUAACAAAAUUAAAAAUUUAUAAUUAAUAUAUUCUUAAUGCAAUGUUGUUUUACAUAUUUGUCCCCAAAAAUGAUAGCUUUAAAUAAUUGAUGAACUUAAAAGGUUAAAAAUAAAUAAAUAAUGUGACGUGGAUAAGAAAAUUUAUGUUGGUUGCACUGAGGAGAUUUUUAGGUAUAUAUACGUUGGUAUUUUGAUAGGGUUAGUCCUUGAUGGGAUCCACAACUUUACAUGUGUUCAAAUUUCACUUUGGAAAGCUGCAAAAAUGUCAUCUGCUUUACACACUCCAUUUUCCAUCUAAUUUUCAAUAUGGCUUUGCCACUCAUGUAAGUAUUACUCCUUCCAUGUAAAAACGAAUGAUCUACUUUGAUUUGAUAUAAAGUUUAAAAAGAUAAAGAAAAUUUUUGAAUUUUGUGGUCUUAAAUUAAAAUUGUGUCAAAUGUAUCAAAAUGCUUUUUAAUCUUGUAGUCCUAAAUAUGUUUUUUGAAAAGUUGAAAUUAAAAUAUUAUCAGAAAAAGAAAAAAUUAUUCUUUUUUAAACGAAUUAAAAAGAAAAGUAAGAUAUUUUUUUUAAAUGUAGUGAGUAGUUGGAUAGAAAUUUCAAAUGGGACCCACAAUUUUCCAUGUGGUCAAAUUUCUCCUCAUUUGGACCAACAGUGUUCAACUUUUCUCCGGGAGUCUACAAAAUGACAUCUGAUUUACUUAGUCCACUGCCUUGAAAAAGGUUCGAGUUGUGAAAAUUAAAGCCUUGACAUAAUUGGUAAAGCCGUCUCAUGUUACACAGGUUGAGUUGUGGAAACUAAAGCCUUGACGUAAUUGGUAAAGUUGUCUCCAUGUGACAGAGGUUCGAGCCAUGAAAACUGCCUCUCGCAAUAAAUACAGGGUUUGACUGUUCGAGUCGUUAAAAUUAUUUCUCGCAUAAAAACAAGAAAAAUGUUAGAAUUCUUCAAGUCUCACAUGCUAAAUCCCAUGAAAAUCAAUUAUAUCAACUGAAGUUUCAAACUUUCAAUUGCAAAACAGAAAAGGGCAUUUUGUUGAUUGCCAUGAAAAUCCCUUCAAAGAAUCCUCAUUUUUUCAAACCCCUUCAAAAAGGUUUCAAGCAUGGUCUUAAAAUUCCUACAGGUUUCUUUAAGUAUUUGAAGGGACAAGAUCAAAUUAAACAUGCAAUACUGAGAAAGGAGGUCAAAUGUUGAUUGGUGAAGGUCUAAUGGCGGCCGAUUCGAAGCAGGUUGGGCUGCAUUUGUAGAAGAACAUGAUUUGCAAAUGGGAGAUUUGUUGAUUUUCAGACAUGAAGGAGACAUGGAAUUUGAAGUUUCCAUCUUUGAUUCAAGUCGUCGCAACAGAGAGUAUGCAGAGUAUCUGCAGGAAGAAGGAGGAUGCAAUAAUGUUGAAGAGACUUCCAAAAAUUUUGAAUUCAAAGAUGCUGGUACUCACAACCCUUGCGAUCAAUCUCAUUUUGAGUGCACUGGCAAACCAUAUUGUAUUUCAAAUGGUUACUUGACACACCAAACCCCAACAUCAUUUCAAAAAGAAAGGCUUUUCCCAACGAAGAAUCUGCUACUCACAACUCUUUUGCUAAAUCUCAUUUUGUGUGCAUUGUCAAGCCGUAUUGCCUUACAAGGAAUUACUUGUACCUACGCAAAUGAUUUGCUCAGUCAAACAGUCUCAUCAACAAGAAAUACGAUUUGGUUAUUAGAGAUGAAAGACAUAGACCCUAGAAUUUAAGGUUGGAUACCAACAAUGUUGGACUCUAUAUUGGAGAGGGGUUGCGUGAUGUGCUGAUAAUGACUUGAAGGCGGGAGAUUGCAUAAAGUUUGAGGUUAUUACUAAUGGAGAGAAACCAAUCUUGAAAUUUCAUGGCAAAUUUUCUCAUUUAAGCAACCUCUUAUUUCCCUAACAACAUAAUUUCUUUGUUGUAUGCACCUUGUGUAAAUUUAUGUAUUGUUGUGUUUGGUUGUUCGAAACUGUAAAAAAUGUUCUGCAUAAGCAGCUAACAUCUUCUAAAAUUUACCCAACCAAUGAAGAUGUUUUAUGAAAUUUGUUAUGAAAUAUAAAGCAAAAAAGAAGAAGAAUAGAGAGAGCAGAUAGAGUAAUUCUUAUUUUCCUUGAGGAAUUCUUGAUGGGUUGAAUUACAAUGAAGUGAAGGAAACCUCCUUUAUUUAUAGGAAAAAACUGACCUUGGGGUUUCUAAUUUUUUCAUAGAUAAAAAUUCACUUUAUAUGGUAAAAUAGACAUUUACUAUAUAUGGUAAUAUAUUUAUAACACUC